UCAGGCCUAACACAUGCAAGUCGAGCGCGCCUUUCGGGGUGAGCGGCGGACGGGUUAGUAACGCGUGGGAAUAUGCCCUUUGGUACGGAAUAGCCUCUGGAAACGGAGAGUAAUACCGUAUGAGCCCUUCGGGGGAAAGAUUUAUCGCCAAAGGAUUAGCCCGCGUUAGAUUAGGUAGUUGGUGGGGUAAUGGCCUACCAAGCCUACGAUCUAUAGCUGGUUUUAGAGGAUGAUCAGCAACACUGGGACUGAGACACGGCCCAGACUCCUACGGGAGGCAGCAGUGGGGAAUCUUGGACAAUGGGGGCAACCCUGAUCCAGCCAUGCCGCGUGAGUGAUGAAGGCCUUAGGGUCGUAAAGCUCUUUCGCCUGUGAAGAUAAUGACGGUAGCAGGUAAAGAAACCCCGGCUAACUCCGUGCCAGCAGCCGCGGUAAUACGGAGGGGGUUAGCGUUGUUCGGAAUUACUGGGCGUAAAGCGCACGUAGGCGGAUCGGAAAGUUGGGGGUGAAAUCCCGGGGCUCAACCCCGGAACUGCCUCCAAAACUAUCGGUCUAGAGUUCGAGAGAGGUGAGUGGAAUUCCGAGUGUAGAGGUGAAAUUCGUAGAUAUUCGGAGGAACACCAGUGGCGAAGGCGGCUCACUGGCUCGAUACUGACGCUGAGGUGCGAAAGUGUGGGGAGCAAACAGGAUUAGAUACCCU
rnacentral:rRNA from 1 species